UGGUGUUGCUUUCCAGCGUUAUCCAGCCUGGGAAGUCCUUGGUGGGUUAGGGUAUGCACAACCAAAGCUGCUCAACUCUCAGACAUCGCAGCGUGUCUUCUGGAUUAGUCAUUUAUAACCAUGAAAAAUAAGGGCAAGGAUGCCAGUGGAAUAAAGUGGAAAUGAGUGGAAAGGUCUCACUGCAACUCAAAAAGGAAUGUUCUCCUUGCUACCCAUCUCCAGCUGCCACCACAGCUGGACAAAAUUAGAGCAGGCAGUACAACUGUGUUUUUCCCCUUGUUUGGAAAGUCAGGAAAUGCAGGCUUAAGGCAAAUGGGCUCAUGUUUGCUUCUAACUGGAAGAGAAUUCCAUUCUGUGCUUGAAAAUUAUCCUAGUUAGGAAGAUGUUACUUGAAGUCUCCAGUUUGUCCUACAAAGAGGUGGCCACCUGAUAUAUGACCUUCCCAGUUUAAAGGCGGAAGAAUUGGAGAGAAGGGGCUCUUCAGCAAGGAGGGGAUGACAAGAUCAAGACUUAGAAAAGGAAUGACAAAUAGAAGAAUUUAUCCCUUCCUGGCCAAAUGUUGAUUCUGCUGUAGUGCUGUACCACGUGUACAACCCCUCCUGUGCUGCUGUGCCCCUGGCAGUCCCGCUCAUGGCAGUGCCCAGAGCAGCCCAUGGUGUUCCCAGAGCCCCUUCUUCAGGAGGUGGAGCUCCUCUGGCAUGUGGCUGCUGAUGGGGCACUGAUGCUGUGGUUGUUGUAGCUGUGCCUAAACAGGAGUUGUUUAGGGCACAACAAGUGCUUCAUGUGGCCACAUACAACAUUUACUCAGUGUGGGAGAUCACACGCGUAAAAGUUUAGUGCAGGAGUGCAGCAACACAGACUCACACAACCCUCAGGCCUUUUCUGUUAACAAUCAGACCCAUAAAGCGCAUUAAAAUAAACUGAUUUUUACAGCUCUGCACUGCUGUUCAACCAAGCGUUUCAAGAAGCAAACAAAAGCACCCACUCCUCUGGAAAUAUGAGACUUCGUUCCUAUCCAGGAGCACAAACUGUACUCAGGAGGGAGUUAUGAAACCCUGUUUAAGUGCAGAUUUGUAUUCAUUUUUACAUACCUUUGCUUCGCCCUUCUCUUGGAGGUGUUUUUGCCUUUAAUAGCUCUAUACUUUUGUUGACAAACCAUUUCCAAACAGUUUUUCCUCAGGCUUUUGAGAACAUGUGGCAGAAACAAGUGAGGAUUUUUGUCCCAUUUUCAAAUGUAAAUAGAUACAAGAGGACGGGACGUUCAAGUGCAGAGGCCCUUCUUGCCAGCAGUUUUGAGGCUGCCUACAAGCUGAAUUAAACAUGGCUUUGGCAUAGAUGUGAUUCUGGGUGGAGAAGCAGAUACAGCCUGAGAGGCAUCCUCUGAGCUUCAAAACAAAAAAUAGUAGUAAUUUUUGUCUUUAAAACUGGGUCUUACAGCAUCUGAGAAUAAAAGGGUCUUGAUUUUAUUCCGAACACAGAA